rnacentral:rRNA from 1 species
CGUUUAGGGGUAAACCUGAGGAACCCGAAAGGUCGAAGGGGGAAAUUCAUUCGCGUUUCGACGCAGGCGACGGGUAGUCGAGCGACGAGGGGACGUUCGCGCGCCCCCUCGCGCCUUCGAUCCGUUCGAACCGGCGACGAACGCGUGCACUUUUCCUCUGGUAGGACGUCGCGAUUCGUCGAGUGUCGAUUUACGGUUCGCGGUGGAGCCCGGACGUGUUGCCGUUCUCGGACGGUUCACGUUCGGACCCGCGUUCUUGUUCCGAUCGACUCGCUCGACGGUAUACGAACGGUUUGGGGCCGCUAAUUGUAGCGUUCGACUCGUGGCAAGCGCUCCGAAUGCGUCGGCGAUCGGACCCGGUGCCGAUCCCGAUCUUCGGUGACUGUUGGUCGCGAAGUUCUCGAACAGACCUCUAGAAACAAAAACCGAUCCGCGACGCUAUAGCUUUGGGUACUUUCAGGACCCGUCUUGAAACACGGACCAAGGAGUCUAGCAUGUGCGCGAGUCAUUGGGACUCUCUAAACCUAAAGACGUAAUGAAAGUGAAAGUCUUCCUAGCGAAGACCUAGGGAAGAUGGGCGGUUCUCGACGUCAAAAUCGAAGCCGUUCCGCAUUCCCGGGGCGUUUCGUUCUCAUCGCGAGAUGAGGCGCACCAAAAGCGUAC